CCUAUCACCUUUCGAUGGUACUUUCUGCGCCUACCAUGGUGGCCACGGGUAACGGGGAAUCAGGGUUCGAUUCUG